GUGCUCGCUUCGGCAGCACAUAUACUAAAAUCAGAACGAUACAGAGAAGAUUAGGAUGGCCCCUGUGCAAGGAUGACAUGCAAAUUCGUGAAGCAUUUUAUAUUUUU